GUUCUCCUUCCAAGUUCAGAAUAUUGAGAAGGGACAGCAUCUGGAUCAAAUGAUGACAGGAUCUUACAAGAAGAUAUUUCAAGGGGCUAGAUCUUGUUGGUGAAACUUUCUCCAGCGGGAUCCACUUUGAGAGGGAGAUUGGGCACGAUGGGAAAGGCACCGUGUAUAAAGCUGGCCACUGGCUCACUCCAACCAGGGUGUCUCAGUAAAUCAUUGUGAAUUAAUGCCAGCUGUUACAGAUAAACUGGGGUUACUCAGUGGACUGGACCAUCCUUCUUGAAACAUCUUACAUGUCGCCUGAUGAGUGUGCAUUGUUAUUCUGCAGG